rnacentral:rRNA from 1 species
UACGUAGGGAGCAAGCGUUGUCCGGAAUCAUUGGGCGUAAAGCGCGCGUAGGCGGCCCUGUAAGUCCGCUGUGAAAGUCAAAGGCUCAACCUUUGAAAGCCGGUGGAUACUGCAGGGCUAGAGUCCGGAAGAGGCGAGUGGAAUUCCUGGUGUAGCGGUGGAAUGCGCAGAUAUCAGGAGGAACACCGAUGGCGAAGGCAAUCCCCUGGGCCUGUACUGACGCUCAUGCACGAAAGCGUGGGGAGCAAACAGG